CCUACGGGAGGCAGCAGUGGGGAAUAUUGCACAAUGGGGGAAACCCUGAUGCAGCGACGCCGCGUGAGUGAAGAAGUAUUUCGGUAUGUAAAGCUCUAUCAGCAGGAACGAGACAAGACGGUACCUGACUAAGAAGCCCCGGCUAACUACGUGCCAGCAGCCGCGGUAAUACGUAGGGGGCAAGCGUUAUCCGGAAUCACUGGGUGGAAAGGGAGCGUAGACGGCUGAGCAAGCCUGAAGUGAAAGGCGGGGGCCCAACCCCUGGACUGCUUUGGGAACUGUACGGCUGGAGUGCAGGAGAGGUAAGUGGAAUUCCUAGUGUAGCGGUGAAAUGCGUAGAUAUUAGGAGGAACACCAGUGGCGAAGGCGGCUUACUGGACUGUAACUGACGUUGAGGCUCGAAAGCGUGGGGAGCAAACAGGAUUAGAUACCCGAGUAGUC
rnacentral:rRNA from 1 species